rnacentral:rRNA from 1 species
UGAGCAACCUGCCCUUGACCCUGGAAUAACAGCUGGAAACAGCUGCUAAUACCGGAUAUGACCUCCGAUGGCAUCAUCUGGAGGUGGAAAGCUCCGACGGUCAAGGAUGGGCUCGCGGCCUAUCAACUUGUUGGUGAGGUAACGGCUCACCAAGGCUUCGACGGGUAGCCGGCCUGAGAGGGCGACCGGCCACACUGGGACUGAGAUACGGCCCAGACUCCGUAGGAGG